GCCGUCUCUCAGAUGAGACUGUAAUGGCUAAGAUUUCUCAGACUCAGUAGGUCUUAUGAGGUCUGAUUCCAAGUAAACAUUGGGAAAAAUCCUCUCUGGCAAGGAGGAGGAGAAAGCUGAAUCACUUGGUUCUGCUGUCCUUAUCCAGGCAAUGGUCAGACCCAGAGGAAGCACAGCAGCAGCUCCCAGCUGUCCAGAAAGAGCAACUCUUAAAAGCUGGGUGGACUUUGGAGCUUGGCUGGACAGGAGGUCAGAACACGAACUGUGAGUAACAGUGCUUCGGAAGAUGGACUGAAAGAUUCUUGCACUACUAAUGAAUUUCCAGGAAAACUGACUGUAAACUGCUAUCAGGAAUUAUCAAUACACUGAGGUUGAAUUUGGAGUGUUGCUCAUGGCACGGCCCCCACCACAGCAGAGCACUGAGGUCAAAGAGCCACCUCUUCCCAUCCCGGCUCUGCCUCGCAUGCCCUCAGGGACAACCCUACACCAUCACAGCCCGUCCCUACCAACUGGAAGGAGCUGCAGUCCAUCUGAACCAUUUCAGCCAGCUGCUCUGGGUGGAGACACAGCAUGACCUGGAAGUGCCUGUUUCACACGAGCGCCAGGCAGCCACAUCUGCUCGGGUGGCUCCCAGCCUGCAGCCCGCAGCUCAGCCAUGGAACAGACUUCUCCCACCCCCUGGCUCUGUGGCUGCUCAUCACGACCGAGGACACUGAGUGCAGGAGCCCAUCAGCCAGCUGUCACACACAG
ensembl:lncRNA